UACGUAGGGGGCUAGCGUUGUCCGGAAUCAUUGGGCGUAAAGCGCGCGUAGGCGGCCCGGUAAGUCCGCUGUGAAAGUCAAAGGCUCAACCUUUGAAUGUCAGCGGAUACUGCCGGGCUAGAGUCCGGAAGAGGCGAGUGGAAUUCCUGGUGUAGCGGUGAAAUGCGCAGAUAUCAGGAGGAACACCAAUGGCGAAGGCAGCACUCUGGGACGGUACUGACGCUGAGACGCGAAAGCGUGGGAGCAAACAGG
rnacentral:rRNA from 1 species